UGACAUGCCACAGAGAGUUGAUCUCUUAC
rnacentral:piRNA from 1 species